GGACAAGUUGCAGCAUCUAACACCCCAAAAACGAAACAGCUAGACUAGUCUGUAAUUAGGAAAAAUUCGUUCAUAAUACAAAACGAAAAAUAAUCCCAAUGCAGGUUCCACUGCGCAGGUCGACCAGUUGCGUUCGUCCGACAUCUCACUCUAACCUGAAAAUUAUUUUUGUCAAAGAAAUUGUGUUGCGAGUUGGACGAAAAAUUGCCCUGAAAGAUGACCUUUAAAAGCAUCGCUAAAGGGCCAGUUUGGACUCCCAGAGAUCGAUUUAGGUAGUUAAUGUAUUCCGGGAUGAAAUAUUGAAUAUAACUUUCGUCCAUUUCUGUUUUAUUAUCUCUGCAU